rnacentral:rRNA from 1 species
GACGAACGCUGGCGGCGUGCUUAACACAUGCAAGUCGAACGGAAAGGCCCUGCUUGCAGGGUGCUCGAGUGGCGAACGGGUGAGUAACACGUGGGUGAUCUGCCCCUUACUUUGGGAUAAGCCUGGGAAACUGGGUCUAAUACUGGAUAGGACCAUGCUGUAGGUGGUGUGGUGGAAAGAUUAGUUUCGGUAAGGGAUGAGCUCGCGGCCUAUCAGCUUGUUGGUGGGGUAAUGGCCUACCAAGGCGUCGACGGGUAGCCGGCCUGAGAGGGUGGACGGCCACAUUGGGACUGAGAUACGGCCCAGACUCCUACGGGAGGCAGCAGUGGGGAAUAUUGCACAAUGGGCGCAAGCCUGAUGCAGCGACGCCGCGUGGGGGAUGACGGCCUUCGGGUUGUAAACUCCUUUCAGUCAUGACGAAGCCCUUGUGGUGACGGUAGUGGUAGAAGAAGCACCGGCUAACUACGUGCCAGCAGCCGCGGUAAUACGUAGGGUGCGAGCGUUGUCCGGAAUUACUGGGCGUAAAGAGCUCGUAGGUGGUCUGUCACGUCAUUUGUGAAAGCCCGGGGCUUAACUCCGGGUUGGCAGGUGAUACGGGCAUGACUGGAGUACUGUAGGGGAGACUGGAAUUCCUGGUGUAGCGGUGAAAUGCGCAGAUAUCAGGAGGAACACCGGUGGCGAAGGCGGGUCUCUGGGCAGUAACUGACGCUGAGGAGCGAAAGCAUGGGUAGCGAACAGGAUUAGAUACCCUGGUAGUCCAUGCCGUAAACGGUGGGCGCUAGGUGUGGGUUUCCUUCCACGGGAUCCGUGCCGUAGCUAACGCAUUAAGCGCCCCGCCUGGGGAGUACGGCCGCAAGGCUAAAACUCAAAGGAAUUGACGGGGGCCCGCACAAGCGGCGGAGCAUGUGGAUUAAUUCGAUGCAACGCGAAGAACCUUACCUGGGCUUGACAUGCACUGGAUGCGGCCAGAGAUGGUUGUUCCCUUUGUGGCUGGUGUGCAGGUGGUGCAUGGUUGUCGUCAGCUCGUGUCGUGAGAUGUUGGGUUAAGUCCCGCAACGAGCGCAACCCUUGUCUCGUGUUGCCAGCAUUUGGUUGGGGACUCGCGGGAGACUGCCGGGGUUAACUCGGAGGAAGGUGGGGAUGACGUCAAAUCAUCAUGCCCCUUAUGUCCAGGGCUUCACACAUGCUACAAUGGCUGGUACAGAGAGUUGCGAUACCGUGAGGUGGGGCUAAUCUCGUAAAGCCAGUCUCAGUUCGGAUUGGAGUCUGCAACUCGACUCCAUGAAGUCGGAGUCGCUAGUAAUCGCAGAUCAGCAAUGCUGCGGUGAAUACGUUCCCGGGCCU